GCACAGUAUCCGGGCUGGAGUGCACCAUUCCUCACGGCACAGUCCCUCACAGCUUCCCUUGGAUAGGGGUGGGAAUUCCUCGACCCCUUGGGCUUCAUGGGUGAGGCAAUGCCCCACCCUGCUUUGACUUGCACUUCCAUGGGCUGCACCCACUGUCCAACCAGUCCCAAUGAGAUGAACCAGGUACCUCAGUUGGAAAUGCAGAAAUCACCCGCCUUCUGCAUCGAUCUCGCUGGGAGCUACAGACCGGAGUUACUCUUCACCUGAAUGACUUAAGAAGAAAAAGUGGGCAAAAUAACUGGCACACAUUAAUGUAACUACAUAUUCACAAAAUAUAAUGUGGGAAGAAGCAAGAAGGAAUAAGAAUAGUGUUCCAGCUAGAAGAUUUGGAUGAAAAGUGAUUCCAAAAAAAUGAGGCAAUCUCAUCCCGAAACUAUUUAAAACUACUCUCCUCUCUCUUGAUAAACCGUCAGUAGGAAGUGUGUCGUUUAUUCCCUCACUCCACACUGGAUUCAUAUGGGCUGAUAGCAGCAGGAUUAAAAAUUUUUUUCAUCAUGAGUUAAAUCCCUAAGAUUUAGAGUAUUUUGUUUGUCUGAAUGUCUAAGCGGUACAAACCUUAGCAAUCCAUAUUAAAAUGGAGAAUUCCUUCUUUUGGUAUUCACAAGCAUAACAUACAUAAUCCUUUAUCUCUGGCAAAGCUAUUCACUUUUUGGCCUUUGGCUGUUCG
rnacentral:lncRNA from 10 species